UUUCGCUCUUUUAAUUUAUUUUAUUUAUUUUUGUGUGUACAGGUGUUUUUGUCUACAUGUACACAUGUAUGUGAACCUCAUGUGUGCCUGUUGUCUGCAGAGGCCAAGAGGAUGUCAGAUCCCCUGGAACUGGUGGCUGCAUCCCUAGGGGCUCAGAAAGGGCUCUGGUACACGGAUGGCACUCAGUAUUUACUACUGGACAAGCAGAGGAAGAAAGAAACAAGUGGCUCAAAUAAAGCCAAGUGAGAAUCAAGGAGUAAAAGUUCUACAAGGAAGUACAGCAUUCCAUCGGAACUGGAGGAAAAGGAGGAAAGGUUAGCUGCAAUGUGAUUUCAGGCAAAGCGUUUCUUCUUCCCUCUGAACUCUGUACUGUUACAAUAGCAGCACCCUUCCACUACAAUUACAAUUAUUCAAAGCUUCAAAUUUGCCAACCCUGUUCCAAGUCACCAUUCACUGCAUUUUAAGGUGAAGUAGUAUAGGACAGGGAUCUUUCUAUUGAUAGUCACAGAAUUAAUCUCUGGAUUAGGACAGAACUAAGAGGUAGAGCACUUACCUAAAAAGGUAUAAAGCUCUGGGAUUUGAUCCAAAUGCACAAGAAACGGCAUUACAGCACUACUAAUACCCUUAAAGAAAUUUAAAAAAAAUUUUUUCUGGGGGCUGGAGAGAUGGCUCAGAGGUUAAGAGCAUUGUCUGCUCUUCCAAAGGUCCUGAGUUCAAUUCCCAGCAACCACAUGGUGGCUCACAACCAUCUGUCAUGGGGUCUGGUGCCCUCUUCUGGCCUGCAGGCAUACACACAGACAGAAUAUUGCAUACAUAAUAAAUAAAUACUUUUAAAAAAAAUUUUUCUGUAUGUGCCUGAGUAUGUAUAUUCAAAUCAUGCAUGUUAGUGCCCACAGAAUCCAGCAAAGGGUGUUGGAGCCCCCAGAAUGGGAGUUACAGAUCUCUUGAGCCUCCUGAUAGAGGAGGUGCUGAGAACCAAACCCAGGUCUUCUGCAAGUGUACCAAGUAAACCAUCGAGCCAUCUCUUCAGUCUUCUUACUUUCCUGCUUUUCCUGGGUCUUACUCUGGCCAGGUUGAUCUCCAACUUGUAGCAGUUUUCCUGCCUUAAGUCUUCUCCUGGCUGGUAUUACAGGCGUAUACCCAACACUUAAUCUGGCACUAUUAACUUCUAAUAGGAAUAACGAGUAAAGCAAAAUUUGCUUAGGCAAAAAGGCAUGUUUUGAUAUACACUGGAAGGGAGGGUUGUCAUAUUAUGGCAUUGGGAUUGUGGGCUGAGCUCUUGCUUGCUCGCUCCCCACCCCUGGAGUUUCACUAUGUAUCCUUGGCUAGCUGGCCUGGUGUUCCCUACAUACAGACCAGGUUGGCCGUGAACUCACAGAGAUCCAUCUACCUCUGCCUCCUGAGUGUUGGGAUUAAAGUUGUGUGCCACUAUACCCAGAGGAUUGAACUCUCAAGACCACUCAGAAAGCAAGGAAGUAUAGAGGGAGAGUAACUGCAUAGCAUGUGAAGGGUCCAGAUUCAAUGCCAGCACCAUCUGCCUAAAAGUGGUUAAAAAAAAGAAAAAAAAAAAAGUCAAAAUUCAAGAGGCAGAGGCAAGAGGAUCUGAGUUCAAGGCCAGUCUGGUCUACAACUCCUACAACUCAAGCUCCAGGGCAGCUAGGGCUGUGACAGAGAAAAUUGUCCUGAAAAAAACAAAAGAAAAAGACGAAAAAACAUCAUAAGUGCUAUUUUCAUCUUCCUUUUAUCUUCAGAAACUUACACUGUGCCUUUGGACAUUUAAACACUAGAUCAAUAAACAAAAUUUAUAUUAAGAAAUUCUGGAAAAAAAGGAAAACAAGCACUCAUCAAAAACAACCCAAGAUUAUCAGUAAGUGAUAUGCUAAAUAUCUUGGGUGGCAAACAAAAAUUCCUUCAUUCAGAAAAGCAAACCUAAUAUGCAUGAGAAUUCAUUCUCUCCAGUAAAAGGUGGCGGUGGCAGCAGCAGGCAGCAGCGGCACACACCUUUAAUCGCAGCAAUCAAGAGGUAGAGGCAGGAUGAAUUGAGGUCAGACUGGUCUAUAGAGUGAGUUACAGGACAGCCAGGAAUGUUACACAGAGAAAUCCUGUCUUGAAACACCAAAAACCAAACCAAAACUUUCAAAAAAAAAAAAAAGAAAGAAAAGAAAAAAACCCUUAUACCAGAAGUAGGAAUGGCAAUACUAUGCAUCUGUAAUUACAGGACACAUGAGGCCGAGGCAAGAAAUUUAAUAAGAGUUCAAGGGCAGUCUUGGCCAUAUAAUAACACAACGCCUUAAAAAACAAAUCUUUAAUCUUAGCUCUCGAAGGUAGAAGCAGGUAGCUCAAGUCCACAACAGUAGGUCCAGGCUAGUCAAGGCUAAACAGUGAGAUUGUCUCCCCCAUAAACAAGCAAACAAACAAAACCAACCACCACACACAUAUACACACACACACACAAAAUAAUAACAACGACAACAACAAAAACACAGUAUGACUGAAGAUAAAAAUCAGUAGCAGAACACUUCCCUAGUGUGCUCAAGGCCCUGGAUUCUAUUCCCACAGUAGGGAAAGGAGAUAAAGACAAUUAAUAUUUCCCCUUCAAAUCAACUUUAAAAUUGUUCUUAAGAAAUAAAUCAAACAAAAAAUUUAGAACACCAUAAAAUGCACUAUUAAAUGCCUCUUAAUCAUUGAAACAAGCAAAGCAAAAGCAAAUCACAUGUUUUAUCAGUGUCUCAAAAUGCUAGAAACUUAGUCCAAUAUUGAGACACUGAAAAGGAAUAGGGGCCCAGCAUGGUGGCAAGAAGAUCUUAAUGAGUUCAAUGGUCUGCAUAAUCCUGGUCUCCAGGAUAACCGAGACUAUAAGGAGACCCUGUCUCAAAAACAAAACAAAAACAAAUACACACACACACACACACACA